AUUGAACGCUGGCGGCAUGCCUUACACAUGCAAGUCGAACGGCAGCAUGAUCUAGCUUGCUCGAUUGAUGGCGAGUGGCGAACGGGUGAGUAAUACAUCGGAACGUGCCCUGUAGUGGGGGAUAACUGGUCGAAAGAUUAGCUAAUACCGCAUACGACCUGAGGGUGAAAGUGGGGGACCGCAAGGCCUCAUGCUAUAGGAGCGGCCGAUGUCUGAUUAGCUAGUUGGUGAGGUAAAGGCUCACCAAGGCGACGAUCAGUAGCUGGUCUGAGAGGACGAUCAGCCACACUGGGACUGAGACACGGCCCAGACUCCUACGGGAGGCAGCAGUGGGGAAUUUUGGACAAUGGGCGAAAGCCUGAUCCAGCAAUGCCGCGUGUGUGAAGAAGGCCUUCGGGUUGUAAAGCACUUUUGUCCGGAAAGAAAUGGCUCUGGUUAAUACCUGGGGUCGAUGACGGUACCGGAAGAAUAAGGACCGGCUAACUACGUG
rnacentral:rRNA from 1 species